UACGUAGGGUGCGAGCGUUAAUCAGAAUUACUGGGCGUAAAGCGUGCGUAGGCGGUUUGCCGUGUCCUGUGUGAAAGCCCAGAGCUCAACUCUGGAACUGCCUUUGAAACUAGAGGACUUGGGUACGGGAGAGGUGAGUGGAAUUCCGAGUGUAGAGGUGAAAUUCGUAGAUAUUCGGAAGAACACCAGUGGCGAAGGCGGCUCACUGGCCCGUUACCGACGCUCAGGCGCGACAGCGUGGGGAGCAAACAGG
rnacentral:rRNA from 1 species